rnacentral:rRNA from 1 species
GGUUAAGCGACUAAGCGUACACGGUGGAUGCCCUGGCAGUCAGAGGCGAUGAAGGACGUGCUAAUCUGCGAUAAGCGUCGGUAAGGUGAUAUGAACCGUUAUAACCGGCGAUUUCCGAAUGGGGAAACCCAGUGUGAUUCGUCACACUAUCAUUACGUGAAUACAUAGCGUAAUGAAGCGAACCGGGGGAACUGAAACAUCUAAGUACCCCGAGGAAAAGAAAUCAACCGAGAUUCCCCCAGUAGCGGCGAGCGAACGGGGAGCAGCCCAGAGUCUGAAUCAGCUUGUGUGUUAGUGGAACGGUCUGGAAAGUCCGACGGUACAGGGUGAUAGUCCCGUACACCAAAAUGCACAGGUUGUGAACUCGAAGAGUAGGGCGGGACACGUGGUAUCCUGUCUGAAUAUGGGGGGACCAUCCUCCAAGGCUAAAUACUCCUGACUGACCGAUAGUGAACCAGUACCGUGAGGGAAAGGCGAAAAGAACCCCGGCGAGGGGAGUGAAAAAGAACCUGAAACCGUGUACGUACAAGCAGUGGGAGCAUCCUUUUGGGUGUGACUGCGUACCUUUUGUAUAAUGGGUCAGCGACUUAUAUUCUGUAGCAAGGUUAACCGUAUAGGGGAGCCGAAGGGAAACCGAGUCUUAACUGGGCGUUAAGUUGCAGGGUAUAGACCCGAAACCCGGUGAUCUAGCCAUGGGCAGGUUGAAGGUUGGGUAACACUAACUGGAGGACCGAACCGACUAAUGUUGAAAAAUUAGCGGAUGACUUGUGGCUGGGGGUGAAAGGCCAAUCAAACCGGGAGAUAGCUGGUUCUCCCCGAAAGCUAUUUAGGUAGCGCCUCGUGAACUCAUCUUCGGGGGUAGAGCACUGUUUCGGCUAGGGGGUCAUCCCGACUUACCAACCCGAUGCAAACUGCGAAUACCGAAGAAUGUUAUCACGGGAGACACACGGCGGGUGCUAACGUCCGUCGUGAAGAGGGAAACAACCCAGACCGCCAGCUAAGGUCCCAAAGUCAUGGUUAAGUGGGAAACGAUGUGGGAAGGCACAGACAGCCAGGAUGUUGGCUUAGAAGCAGCCAUCAUUUAAAGAAAGCGUAAUAGCUCACUGGUCGAGUCGGCCUGCGCGGAAGAUGUAACGGGGCUAAACCAUGCACCGAAGCUGCGGCAGCGACACUAUGUGUUGUUGGGUAGGGGAGCGUUCUGUAAGCCGUUGAAGGUGUAUCGUGAGGUAUGCUGGAGGUAUCAGAAGUGCGAAUGCUGACAUAAGUAACGAUAAUGCGGGUGAAAAACCCGCACGCCGGAAGACCAAGGGUUCCUGUCCAACGUUAAUCGGGGCAGGGUGAGUCGACCCCUAAGGCGAGGCCGAAAGGCGUAGUCGAUGGGAAACAGGUUAAUAUUCCUGUACUUGGUGUUACUGCGAAGGGGGGACGGAGAAGGCUAUGUUAGCCGGGCGACGGUUGUCCCGGUUUAAGCAUGUAGGCGGAGGUUCCAGGUAAAUCCGGUACCUUUUUAACGCUGAGGUGUGAUGACGAGGCACUACGGUGCUGAAGUAACAAAUGCCCUGCUUCCAGGAAAAGCCUCUAAGCAUCAGGUAACACGAAAUCGUACCCCAAACCGACACAGGUGGUCAGGUAGAGAAUACCAAGGCGCUUGAGAGAACUCGGGUGAAGGAACUAGGCAAAAUGGUGCCGUAACUUCGGGAGAAGGCACGCUGAUAUGUAGGUGAAGUGAUUUACUCAUGGAGCUGAAAUCAGUCGAAGAUACCAGCUGGCUGCAACUGUUUAUUAAAAACACAGCACUGUGCAAACACGAAAGUGGACGUAUACGGUGUGACGCCUGCCCGGUGCCGGAAGGUUAAUUGAUGGGGUUAUCCGUAAGGAGAAGCUCUUGAUCGAAGCCCCGGUAAACGGCGGCCGUAACUAUAACGGUCCUAAGGUAGCGAAAUUCCUUGUCGGGUAAGUUCCGACCUGCACGAAUGGCGUAAUGAUGGCCAGGCUGUCUCCACCCGAGACUCAGUGAAAUUGAACUCGCUGUGAAGAUGCAGUGUACCCGCGGCAAGACGGAAAGACCCCGUGAACCUUUACUAUAGCUUGACACUGAACACUGGUCCUUGAUGUGUAGGAUAGGUGGGAGGCUUUGAAGUGUGGACGCCAGUCUGCAUGGAGCCAUCCUUGAAAUACCACCCUUUAAUGGCUGGUGUUCUAACGUGGACCCGUGAUCCGGGUUGCGGACAGUGUCUGGUGGGUAGUUUGACUGGGGCGGUCUCCUCCUAAAGAGUAACGGAGGAGCACGAAGGUUAGCUAAUCCUGGUCGGACAUCAGGAGGUUAGUGCAAAGGCAUAAGCUAGCUUGACUGCGAGAGUGACGGCUCGAGCAGGUGCGAAAGCAGGUCUUAGUGAUCCGGUGGUUCUGAAUGGAAGGGCCAUCGCUCAACGGAUAAAAGGUACUCCGGGGAUAACAGGCUGAUACCGCCCAAGAGUUCAUAUCGACGGCGGUGUUUGGCACCUCGAUGUCGGCUCAUCACAUCCUGGGGCUGAAGUAGGUCCCAAGGGUAUGGCUGUUCGCCAUUUAAAGUGGUACGCGAGCUGGGUUUAGAACGUCGUGAGACAGUUCGGUCCCUAUCUGCCGUGGGCGCUGGAGAAUUGAGGGGGGCUGCUCCUAGUACGAGAGGACCGGAGUGGACGCAUCACUGGUGUUCGGGUUGUCAUGCCAAUGGCAUUGCCCGGUAGCUAAAUGCGGAAGAGAUAAGUGCUGAAAGCAUCUAAGCACGAAACUUGCCCCGAGAUGAGUUCUCCCUGAGACUUUAAGUCUCCUGAAGGAACGUUGAAGACGACGACGUUGAUAGGUCGGGUGUGUAAGUGUAGCGAUACAUUGAGCUAACCGAUACUAAUGAACCGUGAGGCUUAACCUU